rnacentral:lncRNA from 1 species
UGGCUUGCUCUCUUUCUUCUAUUUCUUUAUGGAUUUAACCUUCUUUCUUUCAGUAGACUUUCUCUUAAAAGAAGAAGUCCGCUCCACAGCAAAAACAGUACCCCUUGAACUCUUUAAGGUGCCCUCUGUGGUGACCAACAUGUUGACGAGUUUGAAAAUAGUGCAGUCAAGUUUCUUCAUAUAAAAAUUCAUAAUGAAUUGACUAUAUGAACUGGUAAGGGAUUGAAGGAUCAGAUCUAUCGGCAAUUUUUUUUGCAUAUCUAGCCCGAGCUUUCCAAGCUCUUAAAUAUCCUUGAUCACUGUCAUACA